rnacentral:rRNA from 1 species
GACGAACGCUGGCGGCGUGCCUAAUACAUGCAAGUAGAACAUUGGCGCACAGGUGAGUAACACGUAGGUAAAUGCGUCAUAGCGGGGGAUAACUAUUGUAAAAGAUAGCUAAUACAACAUAAUGUGAGCUGGACCUGAGUUUUAUUAGCUCGUUGGUGGGGUAAAGGCUCACCAAGGCUAGGAGCCAUAGCCGGUCUGAGGGGAUGAUCGGCCACAUUGGGACUGAGACACGUCCCAGACUCCUACGGUAGGCAGCAGUAGGGAAUCUGCGGCAAUGGACGGAAGUCUGACCGAGCAACGCCGCGUGAGUGAAGAAGGUUUUCGGAUCGUAAAGCUCUGUUGUUAGAGAAGCGGUACCUAACCAGAAAGGGACGGCUAACUACGUGCCAGCAGCCGCGGUAAUUC